rnacentral:rRNA from 1 species
CUACGGAGGGUGCAAGCGUUACUCGGAAUCACUGGGCGUAAAGCGCGCGCAGGCGGCUAUUUAAGUUGGAUGUGAAAGCCUACGGCUCAACCGUAGAACUGCAUCCAAAACUAUUUAGCUAGAGUGUGGGAGAGGAAGAUGGAAUUAGUUGUGUAGGGGUAAAAUCCGUAGAGAUAACUAGGAAUACCAAAAGCGAAGGCAAUCUUCUGGAACACUACUGACGCUGAGGCGCGAAAGCGUGGGGAGCGAACGGGAUUAGAUACCCUAGUAGUCC